rnacentral:rRNA from 1 species
CUACGUGCCAGCAGCCGCGGUAAUACGGAGGGUGCAGGCGUUAAUCGGAAUUACUGGGCGUAAAGCGCACGCAGGCGGUCUGUCAAGUCGGAUGUGAAAUCCCCGGGCUCAACCUGGGAACUGCAUUCGAAACUGGCAGGCUAGAGUCUUGUAGAGGGGGGUAGAAUUCCAGGUGUAGCGGUGAAAUGCGUAGAGAUCUGGAGGAAUACCGGUGGCGAAGGCGGCCCCCUGGACAAAGACUGACGCUCAGGUGCGAAAGCGUGGGGAGCAAACAGGAUUAGAUACCCUGGUAGUCCACGCCGUAAACGAUGUCGACUUGGAGGUUGUGCCCUUGAGGCGUGGCUUCCGGAGCUAACGCGUUAAGUCGACCGCCUGGGGAGUACGGCCGCAAGGUUAAAACUCAAAUGAAUUGACGGGGGCCCGCACAAGCGGUGGAGCAUGUGGUUUAAUUCGAUGCAACGCGAAGAACCUUACCUACUCUUGACAUCCAGA